rnacentral:rRNA from 1 species
CCUACGGGAGGCUGCAGUGGGGAAUAUUGGUCAAUGGUGGGAACCCUGAUCCAGCGACGCCGCGUGAGUGAAGAAGUUUCUCGGUAUGUAAAGCUCUAUUAGCCGGGAAGAAAAUGCCGGUACCUGACUAAGAAGGCCCGUCUCAAUACGUGCCAGCAGCCGCAGUACUAAGUAGGGGGCCGGCGUUAUCCGGAGUUACUGGGUGUUAAGGGAGCGUAGACGGUGCAGCAAGUCUGAUGUUAAAGGUCGGGGGCCAACCCCGGGACUGCAUUGGAAACUGUUUAACUGGAGUACAGGAGAGGUAAGCGGAAUUCGUGGUGUAGCGGUGAAAUGCGUAGAUAUUAGGAGGAACACCAGUGGCGAAGGCGGCUUACUGGACUGUAACUGACGUUGAGGCACGAAAGCGUGGGGAGCGAACAGGAUUAGAUACCCGUGUAGUC